UGUUUGAUCCGUGACGUUUCGUCGAAAAAUCACAAGCGCGCAUGCCGUGUUUGCCUGGUUGCAAGAUCUUGCCGAUUUCAACGUUUUUCCACCUCUUCGGUUGGCGUACGCUGAACUGGACCCUCGCAGCAAGAAUGGCACGUGGGAAUUGACACCGCGAUCGUGGAACACAUGGCUGAUCUGCCUCGAAUAACUGCAAGCCGGCGCGUGCGUAGUGCCGUGGAGAACGAUCAGAAGUCCUGGAC